rnacentral:rRNA from 1 species
UACGUAGGGUGCGAGCGUUGUCCGGAAUUAUUGGGCGUAAAGGGCUCGUAGGCGGUUUGUCGCGUCGGGAGUGAAAACUCACAACUCAAUUGUGGGCGUGCGGGCGAUACGGGCAGACUGGAGUACUGCAGGGGAGACUGGAAUUCCUGGUGUAGCGGUGGAAUGCGCAGAUAUCAGGAGGAACACCGGUGGCGAAGGCGGGUCUCUGGGCAGUAACUGACGCUGAGGAGCGAAAGCGUGGGGAGCGAACAGG